UAUUAAUUUCUUUAUUAAUUAAAAAAUCACCAAAAAGUGUAUUUUUCGGAAGACAUACUAGACUAGAAAAAAUACAAAAAAAAAUAUUUUUAAUUAACCGCACAAUAAACGUUCACUAAAAAACGUGUCUAACAAAUACUUGAGUAAAGCAAUUAACAGUAGGUAGAUUGCACGUGAAAUAUAAAAUAUCACAGAGUACUCUACCUUGGGACACUUCUGCACUGAUUUGGGUGACAAAAGGAACAGAACAUUUUCUACAAAACGCAAUCGGAACUAUCGAGCUGACAGUUAUCCGCACUUCCACUCAGACACAUAUAUUGCCCAUUGUGAUUAUGCCGGAAGAGGAGAGUUGCUAACCUUUGUUAUCUUCUAUUCUUGUUAAACUAUUUCGUUCUCCAGAU